UUGAUCCUGGCUCAGAAUCAACGCUGGCGGCGUGCCUAACACAUGCAAGUCGAACGCGAAAGGGGCUUCGGCCCUGAGUAGAGUGGCGAACGGGUGAGUUACACGUGGGUGAUCUACCUCUGAGUGGGGGAUAACGUUCCGAAAGGAGCUCUAAUACCGCAUGACGUCCUGGGUUUGAAGACCUGGACACCAAAGUCGGUGCCCUUAGGGAAACUUAAGGCCUGACGCUUGGAGAGGGGCCCGCGCCUGUUUAGCUAGUUGGUGAGGUAAUGGCUCACCAAGGCGACGAUCAGUAGCCGUCCUGAGAGGGCGGACGGCCACACUGGGACUGAGACACGGCCCAGACUCCUACGGGAGGCAGCAGUGGGGAAUUGUUCGCAAUGGGCGCAAGCCUGACGAUGCAACGCCGCGUGGAGGAUGAAGGUCUUCGGAUUGUAAACUCCUGUUGAUCGGGAAGAAUGGCCUCCGGCUUAAUACUCCGGAGGAAUGACGGUACCGAUUGAGGAAGCCACGGCUAACUCUGUGCCAGCAGCCGCGGUAAUAAGGU
rnacentral:rRNA from 1 species